rnacentral:ncRNA from 1 species
CGGGAAGCUCUGACACGCGGUCCCGGCCGCCGGGACCGCGCCGAGCCACUGGCGAGACCGACCCG